UCGUCUGUCGCAAAUUUACAUCGCGAGAAGAUUUUGAUUUUCCUAUCGUCUCGAGUCAGAGCAUUGAUUUUUAAAAAAAUCAAUGAGACUCAGACAUUGACUUCACGAGCAAAUGAAUUUCAAGAUUUCAAUACUUGCGACAACCUUUGCGAUCUUGAGUCUGGCCCUCUGGCUGAUAGCUGACGCUGUACAAUCACCAAGUCAUAUUUUGACUUAUUUCGAUGAGAAAAUAUAUUACAAAACGUGCAUUCUAACAAAUAAAUAGCGACAAGAUGAUGUACCGAACUCUUGUAUUCUCUACGAUUUGCGCGAUUUAUAUUACAGUAGAAGGAAAGUAACAUAUUGAAGAGAUACCUACGACAUAAAAAAGUAACAAAUAAAAAUGAAACACCGACUAUGGGUGUCACUGAAAGCAAUGAAACAACAAAAAAAAGAAAUAGUUGUCUAAGCUUCGAAGUGAAAUAAUUCAUUGUCAUCAAAUCAGUUUUCCGGCUUACUGACUUGAUCCAGUAACACAUUGUGCACACCGACUAGUUCUCUAAUAAAUGCCAUGCAUUUGAUUAUUUGUUUUCGAGCAUCCCCUUGACUUUUCUUUGCAACUUGGAGUUCUCUUUCAAGCUCCUCAUACCUACUAUUCAACUUCCUACAGAAAAACAAAGAAACAAAAAAUGAGAUUAGAUCACUAGAUUAUAAUUGCUAGAAAAUAGAAAUCAAUUUCAGAGUAUAUUUUCAAUACAUGAUCUGCAUAUUCAAAAUGCAUUAUUUUAUAUUUGUCUUAUGGGAUGAAUUUUGAUGUUCAAGUUUAGAGCCGUCGAUGGACAGAAUGGCUUCAAAUUUGGAAUGUUUUUCAAGGCACAACAGAAACAUGCGUCAUUAUCAUAAAAACUUAAAUGUAUGUACACCUCGCUUCCGACUCCACGGCAGAUAUAUAACCUUUCAAGUGAUCUCGUUCAGAUGAUAAUUUCGCAAUUUCCACAUCAGUACUGGCCUUUUCAUUUUCAAGAUCUGCGAUUUUUUUCUUCAUCCAAUCGGUAUCCUUUGCAUUAUGCAGUUUCAAUUCUACAGAGAGACUAAAUAAGUACAAUUAUAUUAAGGUAACGUUUAACAAACAAUGAAAAAUGAAAAAAUUGAUCAAUUUACGUACUCUUGUAUUUCUUUGGUAAUUAUGUUAUAAAAAUUGGCAUCAUUUAGGUCCUCAUUUUGAUGCUUAAUUUGAUUACUGACUUGAGUAAGUACGCUAAAUCUUCCCUUCAGUACCAAUAAUUCAGUUUUUGUGGCAUCGAACUUCUCCAUCAAAUCUUGCCUUUCAGUUUCGUAUUGUUUUACUAGACAAAUAUGAAAUCAUUGAGACUGAUAAUCGGUGAUCGGUAACAUUAGCAGAGAAAUUAUUACAAAUCACUUACAGGAAGUUUUAUAAACAGAUUCAAUACUUCGUACUUUGCUUUGAAAUAAUUUUAUCUGUCUGGUCAUUAACUGAUUAUGUUCUUUGACCAGGAGAAAUUCUUGAUGUAAUUUUUUCCAUUCAGCGUAGCUUGAGUUUGCCUAAAUUGAAGGAAAAUGAAUAGGAACAGGA